UUUUUGGUGUGUUAAUUUAAUCAUACAAAUAUUCAUUUAUACAGUAAGGAAAAACCUCCUCAUCUCCAUUUUCUCCCAGGCACCAUGACGCCCCACCAAACACCACCCAGCCUGCUACACGCCCCACCAAACACCACCCAGCCUGCUACACCACCACUGCCCAGGUAGAGGAGGCAGCUCCAGCAUUCACCCAAGGAAACGAAAGGCAAGGGGUGGGGUGGGAGUGUGGGUGAAUCAGCUUGUACUUCUGGGCCCUGGCAACCCCACCACCCUCUCCUGCUGGGGCUCACACUGAAUUUGGGGAGCUGGUUAUUUUUAUGCCCACUUCCUACCCUGGCUGCCCUCAGGCCACACCAGCUAUCUUGGUGAGGCUCUCUCCAGGUUGGACAUGCCUCUGAUACAGCCAGUCCUUGCUGGGGGGGAAGAGGCGGCUGUUUCUCAUAGAAAAAUGCCUCAAAUUCAACUGUCCCCAUGGCAAAAAGAAAAAAAGCAUGCACGCGUGCACACACGUCCACACACACCUCACUCCAUGCACAAGAUAGGUUCUUUCCAAGCCUGAGCCCCUCUGCCUCCCCUGCUGGGCUCAGGUCCUUAAGGAUGGUGCCUGCCUCACCUUGCGGGGGUCAGACCCUGGUGGUCCUUCCUGCCUGGAGGCAGAGGGGGGGCUCCGGGAGCUCCACAGACCCUAAACCUGUAAGACAAGGCAGCGUGAGUGGUACCAACAGCCUCCAGGUCCGAGGGAGCUAUGCACUUCUCCUGCCCCUGCCCUACGGCUUGCGAUUGCUCUGGCCUCUGCAAGGAGCUUACCUGCCCAAGGACAUGCACAGAGACAGUUUGCUCUUGGGAGGGAAACCAACGUGCUUGGGACAGUCACUUUGGGGGUGAGGUUGCCUAAAAGCAAGAGGAGGAGUGGGAGCCCCCUGGCAGGGCCAGACCCACUGACAGUGACCUAGGAGGCCACUGAACAAGGGCAGACAGCCCCUCCUGGGGAAGGCAGCAGGGACACCUAGUGUGAGGCAGGUCAGGAAACCAGAUACUGUAAAGCCUCCCGUGCUCCUGCUGGGGCAGCUGAAGAUGUGAUGCUUUGAGGGCUAUCAAGUGAGGAGAACAGCUGGGCAUGUGGGGGCUCCAGGAUGGCGGGUGUCCCAGGAGGUUGGCACCAACAGUGGCAGCAGUCUGGGCCUUAUAGGGCCCUCAAACAAAAAGCCAUGGUGAGCCCUUGGCUUGGGCCUGUGGUGGCCUGGGCACUGGCAGGGACCCCUGUCUGCUCUGCUGGGGAUGGGGUGCUCUUCGUGUGCAUAGAAAGUAGGUGCUCUGGAGAGCACUGCCCUCUCAGCAGGCUGGCUGCACCCUCCCCAGGACCAAUGUUUACUCCCCUUUUAUUUCUGGGGAGGUGGGGAGGCAAAUGGGGAAUUUCGUACAAGCUUUUCUCUCACAAUCAAGCUUAAAAAAUAAAAACCACAGUCUCAGAAGAGGAUGAGGAGGAACAAACAACACACUUUUGGAACUCAGACACCCAGACACAGGCAGGCAGACCCUCACCCACACCCAGGCUAUAUGACCCCUUGCAGCCGCUUGCGGACCUGGUCUCCCUGCUUGUCUCAUACCCCCAGGGCUCGGGGGUGGGCUGGAAACAGGCAGGGACCCUGCACCAUAUCCCUGGCUAUUAAACCAACCAAGACUCAGAGAAGGAGGGGGUGAGAAGAGGGACUUUGCAUAAUCUCAUAUCUUUGGCAGACAGCUGUUCUAGCCUGGUUUUAGCUUCCCAUGGAGAAACCCACAUCUCACCUGCUCAGAAUCCACAGGAUCCCAGAGGGGGCAACCUGUCCAAGUGCGCAGCCAGCCAAUCAGCUUGUGCUCUGGCUGGGCUGCUCCUUGCCCCCACCUCCCAACAACUACACCUCCUGCUCAGGGCAGGAGUCCUUUCAUUUCCAUCAAAACAUGGCCUCCAAGAUCACAGAGUUGCUAACUGUGGCCCUUCCCCAUGGCAAGUUCCCCAUCUGGGGCUCCAUUUUCACACUUUAACAGCUCAGCCUCCACUAACACCACAAAGGACAAGUGGAAGGAAACACAGGGAAGGGAGCUGUGUGACAAUAGGGAAGCAUGGACAUCUUUACACUCGCUUGCUGCACAUUUGCUGGUGAGCUGCAUCAACACCCGUGUGUACGCACACACGCAUACAUGCAGCACGGAGGCUCUCUUCCCAGUGAAUGGGGAGACAAAGAAUCCAAGACAGCAGUAAGCACGAUGGCAUUUCUCUCUGCCAAGAGAAACAUGGGAGGAGAGCAAUUUGAACUGUUACAAGAGUGUGGAGAAGGACACCUCUCGGCCCCAGAAACUCCCACGUCACCCGAGAGCUGUCCUAACGGCUUCCUCUGCAGGCCACACAGGGAAGUUUGGUCUUCAGGGAGGUUCUGAUGGUAACGAGCCACAGGGCUGACGAAUACAAAUGCCAAAGGUGUAAAUCAACAGAAGAUUAAAGAGAAAAGAAGAGGAAAAGGGUGAUAAUUCAUUGGCUGAUGCCAUUAAAAACAAAUGGGGUCAGAGACUUGUGGAGUCCUGUGGGACGGCAGAUGUCCUCCAAUGGCACUGACCCGCAGAGUCCCCAAACAUGCCCCGCCAGCUUUUAACCUGAAUUGCUUCCAGAGCAAGCAGCUAUUCUAUAAAGAGUAUGUUAUUCCUUAUCUAAAAAAAUAAAGGUGGGGAAAGAGGGGAAAAAAUUAACAUGUGCUCAAAACUACAACCUGUCUGUAGGCAAAAUAAUUUUUGCUUAAAAAGAUGGCUUUUUUUUCCCCCAUUUAAAACUUUUUUUCCUUCCCGAGUGACCUAACCACUUGUUAGAGACUGACACCUAAUAAACAAAACCCAAAGUGGCUGCAUGGAUUUCUUCUUGGUAGCCUCAACACCAUUCCUGGGUUCAGCAUCCACACAUGCAUACUGAGUUUACUCAAAACUAGUCUGUUCUGCUUCUUCCUCUUCUUCCAGGAUGGGGGUCAGAGCCAGGGGUCCAUGCGAUGUGGUCUGCAAUCCAGAGGAACCCCUUGCUCUUCCCCCCCAAAGUCAAGCCUUCUGUCUUUUGUUAAUUUUUCUUCUUGCUGAUACCCGUUUAAGACUGGCCGAAGGGGUAAGGCCCGUGGAGCCCCUGGAAGAGAGUGAACACAGUCAGUGAUGGUACACAGAACAGGUACAAUUUGACAAGCAAACCGAGUAAAAGAAUCUGUGGUUCCCAGUGAGCCAGAAGGAAGCUCCAAGGCACAAGCUCCAAGGCCUGCAGGUUGUCCCUGCCAUGUAAAGCCUCAGGAGGCCAAAUGCCAGCACACUGCAAGCUGCUCAGUGUUCUCCCUCAAUCACGCCAUCCAAGAAGGGGGAGGCUGGUGGAAAGACUCUUCACCUUUCAACUUCUAGAUCAAUUGGUGCCAACUUUUUCCCACUGAGGUCACAAAGCCUUCUUUCCCUCUUGACAAUGUCUUAUUAAUCUCUCUGCUCAAGAUCCUUGGACACCACUUUCUGCACCUUAACCUCAGGUAGAGGCUACUGCUGGCUGAUGAAACAUCAACACAAAAACACUGCAGCAGAAACGGCAAUGUCCCCUGGGCACCUAAUACAGGCAUGGUAGCAGGGGCCUUGCACACUGUCUCUAACCCUCACCUCGAAAGCCAGGUGAGUAUUACUACACCCAUCUGACUGCUGCCCAUCUGACUGCAGAGGUUAAGAAAUUUGUGCAAAGUCACAUGGGUAGCAAAAGACAGAGCCAAGAUUCAAACCAAGUCGGAUGUUUGUUCUCUCCACACUGUCACACGGUAAGGUUGAUUCCAAAUUCCCAAAGGCAUUUUCUUGCCUUUGGCUUCGGUGGAGAAGGCACCAUAGUCUCACUUUUCUCUUAUGUGAAGAAUGAGGCACCAAGAUGUGCCAACACCAGAAGCAGCUGCAUGGACUCACUGGAGGAUGUCCUCCACAUUCACAUCCCCCUCGGAGUACGUUCCCUUGAAAAGUCUCAGUUGAUGCCAAGGCCUGGGAGAAUAAAGGUAACUGGCAACUGUUCCUACACCCCUAGCUGGCCUAGAAGCAUCAGGGCCCUUAGACCAAACUGGGGUGGAAAGCAGGUAUGGAAGUACAGCUGUGACCAUGAUUAUGACCAGAGGGGUUUCCCAAUGCUUGAUGACUCUGUUAAGAAUCCCGAAUCUAGGAAGUUCCUGGAUGGUUCAGUGGGUUAAAGGUCCAGUGUUGUCACUACUGUGGCAACAGGUUUAAUCCCUGGCCCGGGCAUUUCUGCAUGCUGCUGGCGUGGUCAAGGUGGGUGGCGGGGAGACCCUUGAAUCUAGACACAAUUGGGGUAACAAGGCACAGGGAUGACUGAGAUGACAUUUUCCAUUAGCUUGAUAAGAUGUGAGCAGCCAGUGUUUGGUUAUCUUUUAAAAAUGACAUAUUUCUUUGGAGUUCCCUUCGUGGCUCAGUGGUUAACGAAUCCGACUAAGAACCAUGAGUCACGACAGGAACUCCAGCUUUUGUUUUCUUAUCAAAAUUUGAGAUGAUACAUGUAAAGUACUUGGAGGCAUACCUUGCACACGCAUAGGAAUAGCUAAAAAAUAACUUUAGUAUAUACUUGAUCUUGUCACUUUGUCAAAUAUACUCCUUCAAAUGUCUGUUUUUUUUAGUGCUGUACCUGCGGCAUAUGGAAGUUCCCAGACUAGGGGUUGAACGGUAGCUAACAGCUUCCAGACUAUGCCACAGCAAUGCCAGAUCCUUAACCCACUGAGUGAGGCCAGGGAUCAAACCCACAUGGAUCCUAGUUGGGUCUGUUAACUGCUGAGCUGUGAAAGGAACUCCUCUAUCUUUAAAAAUAAAUGUCUAUUCUCAAGCCAAACACAAAUGUUUAGAACUAUGUAUCAUCUCUGCUUUAUGAUAUCCAUUUAACUAUAGGCCCAAUUUUUUUUAAAGUGAUUUUUAAUUAUUUUAUCCAAAUGAAUACAUUGUAACCAAUGGAACAUAUCUCCCAUUGACCAUCAACCAUUAUCUCUGGACCACACAUCCCUUAGCACUUCAACUGUCCUCCUACCAUCAUCCUUCCUGUCUUUCCAAGUCUGUACAUUCUCUGAAAAGCCCUUUCCAUCAACUCCAUCUCUAUUUUUUUUUUUUCUCCUUUUUAUGGUCGCACCUGCAGCAUAUGAAAGUUCCCAGGCUAGGGGUCAAAUCAGAGCUGCAG
rnacentral:lncRNA from 1 species